AGAGUUUGAUCAUGGCUCAGGACGAACGCUGGCGGCGUGCUUAACACAUGCAAGUCGAGCGGUAAGGCCCCUUCGGGGGUACACGAGCGGCGAACGGGUGAGUAACACGUGAGCAAUCUGCCCUUCACACGGGGAUAACCACCGGAAACGGUGGCUAAUACCCGAUACGACCACUUCAGGCAUCUGAUGGUGGUGGAAAGUUCCGGCGGUGGAGGAUGAGCUCGCGGCCUAUCAGCUUGUUGGUGGGGUAAUGGCCUACCAAGGCAACGACGGGUAGCCGGCCUGAGAGGGUGACCGGCCACACUGGGACUGAGACACGGCCCAGACUCCUACGGGAGGCAGCAGUGGGGAAUAUUGGACAAUGGGCGAAAGCCUGAUCCAGCAACGCCGCGUGAGGGAUGACGGCCUUCGGGUUGUAAACCUCUUUCAGCAGGGACGAAGCGCAAGUGACGGUACCUGCAGAAGAAGCACCGGCCAACUACGUGCCAGCAGCCGCGGUAAUACGUAGGGUGCGAGCGUUGUCCGGAAUUAUUGGGCGUAAAGGGCUCGUAGGCGGUUUGUCGCGUCGGGAGUGAAAACUCAGGGCUUAACCCUGAGCCUGCUUCCGAUACGGGCAGACUAGAGGUAUGCAGGGGAGAACGGAAUUCCUGGUGUAGCGGUGAAAUGCGCAGAUAUCAGGAGGAACACCGGUGGCGAAGGCGGUUCUCUGGGCAUUACCUGACGCUGAGGAGCGAAAGUGUGGGGAGCGAACAGGAUUAGAUACCCUGGUAGUCCACACCGUAAACGUUGGGCGCUAGGUGUGGGACUCAUUCCACGAGUUCCGUGCCGCAGCUAACGCAUUAAGCGCCCCGCCUGGGGAGUACGGCCGCAAGGCUAAAACUCAAAGGAAUUGACGG
rnacentral:rRNA from 1 species